rnacentral:rRNA from 1 species
CGUGUAGGUGGCACGUCAAGUCUGCCGUGAAAGCGCCCGGCUUAACCGGGCAGGGUCGGUGGAAACUGGCGGGCUGGAGGACGGUAGAGGCCGAUGGAAUUCCUGGUGUAGUGGAGAAAUGCGUAGAGAUCGGGAGGAACACCAGUGGCGAAGGCGGUCGGCUGGGCCGGUCCUGACACUGAGACGCGAAGGCGUGGGGAGCGAACG